GGGCCCGAUCCUGGUUUCGACGGAAGUUCUGACGUGCGCUUGGGGCAUGCCGAGGCGGUACACCUCGUUAAUCCAGCCAAAGCAAUUUAAUUGCAAACGAUAGCUUCUACGGCGAAAGCCGUCUCGCAGCCUAAUUAAAAACUAGGUUCGAGUGCUGCACCGAUGGGCGUGAACGUCGGGUGGAGUAAUCCACAGCAGUAUCCCUUAGCCACGAGUAGGGCGCGCGGAUGUUUGCGACGCGCGUCCGAAAUUUAGCGAACUGGUUGGCGGCGAGGGUGCUCAUGCUCGCGCAGUCAACAAGAUCAAAUCACUGAGAUAAGCAUGUAGUCCUGACCACCAAUGGCUUUCGGACGCGGGUUCGAACCCCGCCGGGUCCACCA
rnacentral:tmRNA from 1 species